ACCACUCCAGUUUAGGAGCUGUGUAUAGUCAUGUUUCAAUUUAGCAAAAUCUUGGCCAGGGUAGUCUUUGUGAGGAGUCACAGGACUGUUUGAGUUGAGCACGAUUCGGAUGAUCUAAUCAGGGUUGACAGUUUAACCCUGAGUCGUCCUAAACACAGAGGUCAAAAGGAUGAAUUAUACAGUAACCAUAUUCACGUAG
rnacentral:lncRNA from 1 species